GACGAACGCUGGCGGCGUGCUUAACACAUGCAAGUCGAACGGAAAGGCCCCUUUAGGGGUACUCGAGUGGCGCACGGGUGAGUAACACGUGAGUAACCUGCCCUUGACUUCGGGAUAACUUCAGGAAACUGGGGCUAAUACCGGCUAGGAAUCCUUGCUGCAUGGUGGGGGUUGGAAAGCUUCGGCGGUUUUGGAUGGACUCGCGGCUUAUCAGCUUGUUGGUGGGGUAGUGGCUUACCAAGGCUUUGACGGGUAGCCGGCCUGAGAGGGCGACCGGCCACAUUGGGACUGAGAUACGGCCCAGACUCCUACGGGAGGCAGAAGUGGGGAAUAUUGAACAAUGGGCGGAAGGCUGAUGCAGCAACGCCGCGGGCGGGAUGACGGCCUUGGGGUUGUAAACCGGUCUCAGCAGGGGCGAAGCUUGUGGUGACGGUACCUGCAGAAGAAGCACCGGCUAACUACGUG
rnacentral:rRNA from 1 species